GACGAACGCUGGCGGCGUGCUUAACACAUGCAAGUCGAACGGAAAGGCCCUGCUUUUGUGGGGUGCUCGAGUGGCGAACGGGUGGGUAACACGUGAGUAACCUGCCCUUGACUUUAGGAUAACUUCAGGAAACUGGGGCUAAUACCGGAUAGGAGCUCCUGCUGCAUGGUGGGGGUUGGAAAGUUUCGGCGGUUGGGGAUGGACUCGCGGCUUAUCAGCUUGUUGGUGGGGUAGUGGCUUACCAAGGCUUUGACGGGUAGCCGGCCUGAGAGGGUGACCGGCCACAUUGGGACUGAGAUACGGCCCAGACUCCUACGGGAGGCAGCAGUGGGGAAUAUUGCACAAUGGGCGGAAGCCUGAUGCAGCAACGCCGCGUGCGGGAUGACGGCCUUCGGGUUGUAAACCGCUUUCGCCUGUGACGAAGCGUGAGUGACGGUAAUGGGUAAAGAAGCACCGGCUAACUACGUG
rnacentral:rRNA from 1 species